GUGAAUCAUCAAAUCUUUGAACGCAAAUUGCACUCCCUGGUAUUCCGGGGAGUAUGCCUGUUUGAGGGUCAGCCUAAAAAAAAUCGACAUAGUUGCUGUUACGCGGUAACAUUCGUCGGAAAUUGGGUCAUCUUAAACUUUUGGGUUUAAGCGGCUUAAAAUUUUCUUUACGAUUCCAAGAACGUUUCGAAGAUUUUAUUUUCUUAUACGUUUAAGGUAUCGAUCUUUAUUAGACGUGGCCGUUGCAGCGGAUCUCGUCCAUA
rnacentral:misc_RNA from 1 species